UCUCUGCUAGUAUAUCGGUUAGUACACGCGCCUGUCAUCCGUCUAGAAUGGACGCGCGAAAGCUGGGUUCGACUCCCAGGCAGAGAG
rnacentral:tRNA from 1 species